GUUGUCCAAAUAAGAAUUUUAGUUCAACUUUAAAUUUACCUAUAUAAUAUAUAAUAAAUUGUAAAUUUAAAAGAUAAUUCUAAGAGGAACAGCUCUUAGAAUAAGGGGUACAGCCCUAAUCAGAGAGUAACUAUAUUCAAUAAUCAUAGUAGGCCUAAAAGCAGCCACCAAUUAAGAAAGCGUUAAAGCUCAACAAAUCUGACUAAUUUAAUACCAAAAUUUAUCCCUAACUCCUGAUUUACAAAUUGGACUAAUCUAUUACCCCUAUAGAAGAAAUACUGCUAAUAUGAGUAACAAGAAAUAAUUUCUCCUAGCAUAAUUUUAUAUCAGAUCGAAUAUCUCGCUGAUAGUUAACAAUUCAAUGAACAAAAUCAUUAAUUAAAUAAUCAUUUAUAAAAUUGUUAGACCAACACAGGUGUGCAUUUAAGGAAAGAUUAAAUAGGCCAGAAGGAACUCGGCAAACACAAGCUCCGCCUGUUUACCAAAAACAUCACCUCUAGCAUCUCAAGUAUUAGAGGCACUGCCUGCCCAGUGACAUAGUUAAACGGCCGCGGUAUCCUG
rnacentral:rRNA from 1 species